rnacentral:rRNA from 1 species
GAUGAACGCUAGCGAUAGGCUUAACACAUGCAAGUCGAGGGGCAGCAUGGUCUUAGCUUGCUAAGACUGAUGGCGACCGGCGCACGGGUGCGUAACGCGUAUGCAACUUGCCUCACAGAGGGGGAUAACCCGUCGAAAGACGGACUAAUACCGCGUACACUCUAUUUUGGGCAUCCAAGGUAGAGGAAAUGAAAUUCGCUGUGAGAUAGGCAUGCGUCCCAUUAGCCAGUUGGUGAGGUAACGGCUCACCAAGGCGACGAUGGGUAGGGGAACUGAGAGGUUGAACCCCCACACUGGUACUGAGACACGGACCAGACUCCUACGGGAGGCAGCAGUGAGGAAUAUUGGUCAAUGGGCGAGGGCCUGAACCAGCCAAGUCGCGUGAAGGAGGACUGUCUUAUGGAUUGUAAACUUCUUUUGUAGGGGAAUAAAGAGGGGCACGUGUGCCCCAGUGAAUGUACCCUACGAAUAAGCAUCGGCUAACUCCGUG